UGGGCCUACGGGGGGCAGCAGUGGGGAAUAUUGGACAAUGGGGGAAACCCUGAUCCAGCGACGCCGCGUGAGUGAAGAAGUAUUUCGGUACGUAAAGCUCUAUCAGCAGGAAAGAAAAUGACGGUACCUGACUAAGAAGCCCCGGCUAACUACGUGCCAGCAGCCGCGGUAAUACGUAGGGAGCGAGCGUUGUCCGGAUUUACUGGGUGUAAAGGGUGCGUAGGCGGCUUGGCAAGUCAGUAGUGAAAUCCAUGGGCUUAACCCAUGAACUGCUAUUGAAACUGUCGAGCUUGAGUGAAG
rnacentral:rRNA from 1 species